UAAAAUUCAAAUGCAAAGCGGUCAAAAGUUGUGUUCGGUUGUUUCAUCAGACUGUUUCAUAAUAUCAAGUUGCGAAUAUUAAAUUAUUGUAAUCGAAUGAAAAUUAUGUUCCUAAGUCCACCGCGUACAAUCAAAUGCUGACAAUUUCUGAGCCAAUUUGAAAAUUCUUCAAGAAUCUUGAUUUCUUCGCCUCUUAUUGUUCUUUCUCCAUACCUAGUGUUUUUUCAGGAGAAAGAGAGAGAGAGAGAGAGAGAGGAAAGGGGAGAGAGAUGGAAAGCAUAUCAACAGGGUGGCAAGUAAUUUCAUUAUGUGGGAUAGCACUUUGGAUUGUGAUUUCUUCAAAGUUGGAGGUGACUCAAAAGCUCAGAUCUUGUACACAGCCAUGGAUCUGUCAACGUGUGAUUUCUGGAACUCCCAUUGUUAUCAGGAUUCAGAAAUACCAGCACAGAUGUUUGGAUGCAUUUUUUUCUGGGUUAUCUUGUGUUGUUUCAGUACCUUUUUAUACUGCCUUUCUUCCCCUGCUUUUCUGGACUGGGCAUUGCAAAUUGGCUAGGCAAAUGACACUCUUGAUAGCUUUCUGUGAUUAUACUGGAAACUGCAUAAAGGAUGUGGUUUCAGCACCUAGACCCCAAACUCCACCUGUCAGAAGAAUAACAGCCACCAAGGAUGAGGAAGAUAAUGCAAUGGAAUACGGAUUCCCUUCGUCGCACACUCUUAAUACUGUCUGCUUAUCGGGGUACCUUUUACACUACAUUCUUGACUACAGUGAAAGUAAUGAUUUCUCCAUUAGAGUGGCUGGAAUCAUUCUGGCUUGUCUGGUUGUUGGUCUCAUUGGUUUUGGAAGGAUAUACCUCGGAAUGCACAGCUUGAUUGAUAUUAUUGGUGGUCUGGCUUUGGGACUAGGAAUCUUGGCACUUUGGCUCUCUGUGUCAGAAUACAUAGAUAAUUUUGUAGUUUCUGGUCAAAAUGUUGUAUCUUUCUGGGCCGCCUUAUGCUUCUUGUUACUGUUUGCAUACCCCACUCCUGAAGUUCCAACACCAAGUUUUGAGUAUCACACAGCCUUCAAUGGCGUUUCCCUGGGUAUUGUGAUAGGAAUCCACCAGACGUUCAAUCAGUUUCACCAUGAGGAUGUUGCUCGUGUAUUUUCCCCUCAGCUUGCACUUCCUGCCUUUGUGGGUAGACUACUACUAGGAAUCCCGACAAUCCUUCUUGUGAAGUUCUGCAGCAAGGCUCUUGCCAAAUGGAUUCUUCCAAUUGUUUCAAAUACUUUGGGAAUCCCAGUAAGAUCAACAAGCUAUAUACCUAACUUAAAUGGAACCGAUAAGAAAUCGGAUGUAUUUAAGCAGUCGGGUUAUCUCCAGAAAAUGUUCUCCAAGCAGACGUCAUUUGAUGUCGAUACUGGCAUCAGGCUCCUUCAGUAUGCUGGUCUUGCCUGCUCUGUAUUACGUAUGCAAGAGAAGUUGAUCGCGCUGAGUUCUCCAUCAAUGAAGGCCCAAGAUGAUUGGAGAAAUCGUCUGUAGAGCUGAAUAGCUUCAUUUUUGUAACACAAACUGGAGUACCGGUCGAAUCCAUGACGGGGGAGGAACUGAAGUGCUCGUGGAGCAAUUUGGCUAGGUCCCUGAAAACUAAUGGGUUGACAACAGAUGAUGCCACCUGAUAGAUGCUACACUCUGGUUUCCCAACUGUCCCGUGCUUUGCCAUGGCUGCUAAGGUUGCGUUAACAACCAUAUCCGCUGGAACCUAAAGCAAGUCAUUUUCAGUUACCUGAUUUGAAGUCCCAAACAGAAUUCUUCAGCAGACAUACCUGUUUCCUUCCAUCCAUCCAGGGAAUGGUUCUUUAUGCGUGCUCUCGAUGACACUGGGUCUAAUCACAACUACUGAUUCUUGAACAGCUCGGCAUUGAUGAUCUGCAACACACGCGUAUCAGAAGGUUAUACAGAAAAAAGAAGUUGACGAGAGAGAGAGAGAGCGGGAUGAAAGCAAAGUUCUCCAUACUUCGUUUUUCAAUCUCUCUUCUACAGCUUCUUGAUUCUUGGCCUUGAUCACAACAAAUAUCUUAUGAACAUCAGGAGCCGUCCGCAGCAUUUUCUCGAUGAGGACUGAAAAUCAUGCAAGGGACAGCUCGAGGAGUUAAACGGCGUUUCUGAGGAAUCUGAAGAGGUAAGAAAAGACAACGAUACCUUUGCCAAGAAAUCCAGUUGCACCAGUGAUGAGGAAGGUCUUCCCUCUUAGAAAUUUGACAAUGCCGAUACCCUCAUCUUUGGCAUUAUUGCUCAAGACUAGGCUCCCGGUUUCCAUCCCUUGAUCUUGGGUGAUCAAGGCCGACGACGUCUCUGUCAGGACAGAAGAGAUCCCGGUAGACUUGAUGGCAUGGCUACCAGUUUGGCAGCAGACCAUACUUCUCCGACCGUAAGUAGAAAGCCUCGUGUGGUUGAACUUGGCAGCAUAGGAGAUGGAGGAAUUCAGAGAGAAAGCCUCCAUUGCUGCAGAGGUGACAAAUUAGUAAAAAAGGAUGCUAGGUGAGAUGAAGCUCUUUUGAUGAGAAAUGGUAGGUUGGGAAAAGUUAACUACUUUUCUUUUAUUACUCUUUAUUGUUUCUUGCAACAAACCAUUAUUUAAGAUGUGAGUUUGGUUAGAUUAAGAGGGGUGUGAAUGAAUUUUUUUAUGAUUUUAAGGAGUGUGGAGAUGAGAAUUAGGAGGAUAAGGAGAAGGCUCUCUUUUUGCCACCCCCUCUCCACACACGUUCAUUUGGAAACCACUAAUUUGGUGGAAAGUUGAUAUUUUAUUAUAUUCAUCUUUUUCUUCUCA